rnacentral:lncRNA from 1 species
UUAUAAGUACAUUGACUGCAGACAAUGUACUGUCGAAUGUUGGGCGAAAUACCCUUUCCUUGUUUGGGACUUUUGGAUUGGGUUGGUAUUUUCUUUUGUAAGACGAACUAUAGAGAUUGUCUUGUGGAAAAAUUUGAGUGAUAGUCAUCUCUGACCAUGUAGUGAGCCUUGGAUUAUUCCCUGGCAAGUUUUGCGCAGUUGAUUUUUCAUCACUACAACUAGUUUUGACUCUUAUUUGAGUCUGGGUGCUCAUUAGCUCUAUAGUUACGUCUUGCACAAUCAAAAGGUUUAUUUUGGUUGGUAGUCUCAGUCUGUUAGCGGGAGGUUCAGAAUCACAGUUGUUGAGUGGCUUGAGCCUGGUUGUUGGCUUUGAUUGUCACGGUAUGUGAUAGCGUAUAAGGUUUACAACUCGGCUUGUCGUGCAAACCUUGGAAU